ACCCAAGGUUGGGAAUCAUGGCUUUAAGUGAUAACUUGCUGCUUUUAAGGGGAUCUUGACAUGGUUAAGGGAAGCCUUAGUUCAUAAAGAUGCUGUUUGCCAAGGUCUGAGGACAGCAAGCAGGGAAGGUGAAGAAUUAUGUACAACACAUAUAUACAUGCAAAUUACAACCUUAGUAUUUAAUACUUUCACUGCCAAAAACAUUAUUAUAUGUACAAAUAUAGCCUUCCUCCUCUGAAAUGCCAAACCAAGUGUGAGAAGUAAGAUUGAGACCUGGACUGACUACCAAGUUGCAAAGGACUCGACGCCUGCUGAGAUGCUCCAUGCCGAGGCAAGACUCUACUGGAGACCAAAUCCUCCAAGCUGCAUCACGCUCUCCUUUAAAGUUAAUCUGAAUGUGCCGGACUCCAGAGGAAAUGAAAGGAGGCCACGUCAAUAUGUAUACGACAGCCCUGCUCCCUCCAUACUGGCGGAAGGACAACCAUUCCCUGAUGCAUGGUUUUUGAUAUGUGCUGGGAAGUCACCUCCAUCUUA